CUUCUUUUCAUUUAUUAAAAAAAUAUAAAUGGCUAUGCGUUCUGUACUAGACUAACUGAGACUUGUCAUGGCACUUGUAUACUGUUGUUGUUCUCUUGUUGACCUGACUGCUUCUGUUGUUCUCAUUUGUAAGUCGCUUUGGAUAAAAGCGUCUGCUAAAUGGUUAAAUGUAAAUGUAAUUAAAAGGGAACACGGGCAGUGUUGCUGUAUGAAGGUAAAACCGUAGCAAAACUCGAGAGCUUGUUGAUCUGAAUGUGAGAACUUGCAUCCAUCUAGUGGCUAAACAGUGGCAUUACAUAAGAAUAUUAUCUUUCUGGCCACCAAAUGCCUCUAAUUUGCCUCUUUGCACUGGAAUUUAAAAACAUUUUCUAUAUUUUAACGCUAAAUACUACACUAAUUGUAAUAUAAAUAAUAAACAUAUUAGAAAAUGUUAUAUUUUAAAUGGUCAUUCAUGGAUCAUAAUUAUCGUGCAUAUUUAGUACGAGCAUCUCUUCAAAUUAAAUAAACAAAACUGAGCUUAAAUGUAGUACAGCUAUUUUAA